rnacentral:rRNA from 1 species
GUGGGGAAUUUUCCGCAAUGGGCGAAAGCCUGACGGAGCAAUACCGCGUGAGGGAGGAAGGCUCUUGGGUCGUAAACCUCUUUUCUCAGGGAAGAACAAAAUGACGGUACCUGAGGAAUAAGCAUCGGCUAACUCCGUGCCAGCAGCCGCGGUAAUACGGAGGAUGCAAGCGUUAUCCGGAAUGAUUGGGCGUAAAGCGUCCGCAGGUGGCAGUGUAAGUCUGCUGUCAAAGGUCAGGGCUUAACUCUGAACAGGCAGUGGAAACUACACAGCUAGAGUGCGGUGGGGGCAGAGGGAAUUCCCAGUGUAGCGGUGAAAUGCGUAGAGAUUGGGAAGAACACCGGUGGCGAAAGCGCUCUGCUAGGCCGUAACUGACACUCAUGGACGAAAGCUAGGGGAGCGAAUGGGAUUAGAAACCCUUGUAGUCC